rnacentral:rRNA from 1 species
CGAAGAACCUUACCUGGUCUUGACAUAGUAAGAACUUUCCAGAGAUGGAUUGGUGCCUUCGGGAACUUACAUACAGGUGCUGCAUGGCUGUCGUCAGCUCGUGUCGUGAGGUGUUGGGUUAAGUCCCGCAACGAGCGCAACCCUUUUCCUUAUUUGCCAGCGGGUUAAGCCGGGAACUUUAAGGAUACUGCCAGUGACAAACUGGAGGAAGGCGGGGACGACGUCAAGUCAUCAUGGCCCUUACGACCAGGGCUACACACGUGCUACAAUGGUCGGUACAAAGGGUUGCUACCUAGCGAUAGGAUGCUAAUCUCAAAAAGCCGAUCGUAGUCCGGAUUGGAGUCUGCAACUCGACUCCAUGAAGUCGGAAUCGCUAGUAAUCGCGGAUCAGAAUGCCGCGGUGAAUACGUUCCCGGGCCUUGUACACACCGCCCGUCACACCAUGGGAAUUUGUUGCACCAGAAGUAGGUAGUCUAACCGCAAGGAGGACGCUUACCACGGUGUGGCCGAUGACUGGGGUGAAGUCGUAACAAGGUAAGCGUAGAUGA